GAAGGCUUGGCGCGUUCAAGGAAGAGAAGGAAGUGCCACCAGUGUGUGCAUGAGAAAAUGUAUUUCCAUGUGUGAGAUAGACAAUCUCUGCUUACGUGUAUCCACACUAGAAUUGUGCAAUUCGUUUCGGUCAGAAUUUAAAUUCGGACGAAUUUCUGUAAUUCGGACAUUCGGAUGCAUCCGAAUACCUGAAGUGACGAAUUUCAGUGCUGAAUUUCAGAAGUGCCGAACCGAACCAAAUUUUUUGCCCAUGCACAUCCCUAAUCCACACCUCCCUAUUUUAGACCCAAAUCUUUCUG